rnacentral:miRNA from 1 species
AGUCGUCGUUGCGUGUUGUAG